GAUUGAGCCAGAGCUUUAUCUUCUGUUUACUCCUACAUGUUUUCCAGAUGGAUAGUUACCAUAGCAACUCCUUCGUCAAGGGACACACAAGAUGGAGCACCUCAGAGACACACCUUUUAUGAGAAGUGUGUUCCCGGCUCCACCCUACCCCUGCACUGCGGCAGGCAGAGGGCUGGGGCAGUUGACAAGAGACCAGAAAGAAGCAGGAACCCAGAGCACAAACUCACCAAUGACCAACGCUGGGACAGGUUUGGGGCUCAGAGCCUGGGGGGUCACCUCUGAGACAACUCAGCUUGGUGAAGUUCCGCAGUGACAGACCCUGCAAAGGGGUCAGGUCAAAUGAUGAGUUACACUAGCCAACUCGUGUGCCAGUCUCCUGUUCUAAGAUCUUUUUAAGAUCUAAUUGGUAAAACACCUGAGUAUCUCUGGCUCCAACUCCUGGCCAGUCCCUGGCCAGUGGUGGGCCACUGGCUCCAUCACAUGCCUAGUGAUGCAACCUUAC
rnacentral:lncRNA from 1 species